rnacentral:misc_RNA from 1 species
GAUGAAGAACGUAGUGAAAUGCGAUAAGUAAUGUGAAUUGCAGAAUUCAGUGAAUCAUCGAAUCUUUGAACGCACCUUGCGCCCUUUGGACAUUCCGAAGGGCAUGCCUGUUUGAGUAUCAUGAACACCUCAACUCUCACGGCUUGUCCGUGAUGAGCUUGGACUUUGGGGGUCUUGCCGGCCUGUGGUCGGCUCCUCUCAAAUGGAUCAGCUUGCCAGUGUUUGGUGGCAUCACAGGUGUGAUAACUAUCUGCGCUUGUGGUUUUCCAUCAGAUAACCUUCAGUGAUAUGGAGGUUCGCUGGAGCUCACAACUGUCUCUCCUUAGUGAGGACAGCUCUUUGAACGUUUGAUCUCAAAUCAGGUAGGACUACCCGCUGAACUUAAGCAUAUCAAUAAGCGGAGGA